UAUAAUUUUUAAGUACGUAGGGAAUUACGUCAAACUGACAAGCCCGUUUGAAGGGUAUCGAAAAAAUACAUCCUGAAAUAGGCAAAGGACAAACUGACAAAUGCAGCAGGCAACGAAUUUCACUUUGAACAAUUUGGGCAUGAAUGAAUCUGGCCAGCGACAGGACCACGGCAAUUACAACCAAAGAGAGGCAGGUGGAUGUUGAUUUCGGAUUCUUUUCAUGAAACGCACAGGUUAUUCAAAUACAUACACCGGAAAAGUAGCACCUGAUUGAGUCUCUUCAUAAAGAAUUGCAACAAAUAAGUUAUGCAAAUAUGUACCAAUAGUCGAAGCGCAUUUAAUUAAAUUUUUAGCUGAAAAAAUAAUUUUAAAAAUUAAAUACCUCAAAACGCAACAAAUGGUAAGGACUAAUCACCAUGACGAAGCAGCCUCCCACUGCUGCAAAUCAUGGCAAAUAGGAAGGCAUCAGCUGCGCUUCGAGUUCAGGCGGUACUUACACAUGUCAAAUGUCACAAAACGCAUUCAUACCGCGAAAAAAUUAGCCCCAGCCGGCAGGAGCAAUGCUGACGAAGUCGACCCUUUGGUCGUCAAGCAGCUGUCAUAAUGAUGGACCAAAGUGCAUCAUCAGCAACAGAGGCAGCGACAUUUGUGGGUAGGUGCGACAUGUUGCAAAGAAAAAAAAGAGUUAUCGUUAACUUUACGACCACAAAACGCACAGCUGGUCAUACACUGUUCAUAGCACAUUUUAAAGGCACAAAAAUAAUACUAAUUCAAGAUGAAUCCUAAUCUCACGCUGACUUCCACUGUAGAUACCCCUAAAAUAAUAAUAAACUGUGAGUUCAAUUUAACUUAUAAAUAAACCGACGACAAGGAUUUCGGUUUUAAAGAAA